CAAAGCACUUUGAAGAGAGAGUUAAAGAGGACGUGAAACCGGUGAGGUGGAAACGGAUAGAGUCGGCGUAUCUUUCAAGUAUUCAUUUACAUUAUUAUUGUGUUGUGAUCUCUGAGCUCCAGAUUGGGACAGAAAGAAGCAGCAUAAUUUUCUGUGAUGCAUUUACUUGUUUGGUGCUUGGGGAUGUUUGAGGCAGAUUUGUAACCGCCGUUUUGAGGCCAGCUUGCUGGUACCCAAACGGUGUUAGCAUCUUUUGUCUUGGCCAUUUGAGUAUGGCUUACAGGCAUUUAUUGGUUCGAUCUGAGUGUAAGUUACGGUCGCAUGCGACACGUGCUUUUCAAUUAGUUCGGUCCAGUUAAUGCUCUCGUACUCCUUCCCCAUGUAAAAGCCGGUCAUCUAUCCGACCCGUCUUGAAACACGGACCAAGGAGUUUAUCGUGUGCGCAAGUUUUUUGGUGUUAAAAACCGAAAAGCGAAAUGAAAGUAAAUGGCUCUUUAGAGUCUGAUGUGCGAUCUUGUAAAAAAGUGCAGCAUGGCCCCAUUCUAACUGUUUACAGUAGGGUGGCGGAAGAGCGUACGCGGUGAGACCCGAAAGAUGGUGAACUAUUCCUGAGCAGGACGAAGCCAGAGGAAACUCUGGUGGAAGUCCGAAGCGGUUCUGACGUGCAAAUCGAUCGUCUGACUUGGGUAUAGGGGCGAAAGACUAAUCGAACCAUC
rnacentral:rRNA from 1 species